rnacentral:tRNA from 1 species
GGCCCCGCCUGCUGCGGGAACGCGGGCGGCUGCUGUUGCCAGCCGGCCUGCGGCGGUACGGCCUGCUGCGGGGCCU